rnacentral:rRNA from 1 species
UACGAACCGGACAAACGUUAUUCGGAAUCACUGGGCUUAAAGAGUGCGUAGGCGGUCUACCAAGUUGGGUGUGAAAUCCCUCGGCUCAACCGAGGAAUUGCGCUCAAAACUGGCAGACUAGAGGAAGGCAGGGGUAAGCGGAACUGAUGGUGGAGCGGUGAAAUGCGUUGAUAUCAUCAGGAACACCAGUGGCGAAGGCGGCUUACUGGGCCUUUUCUGACGCUGAGGCACGAAAGCUAGGGUAGCGAACGGG